ensembl:lncRNA
UGACGAUUAGAUGAUAGUGAGGUGACGAUUAGAUGAUAGUGAGGUGACGAUUAGAUGAUAGUGAGGUGAUGGGAGGUGACGAUUAGAUGAUAGUGAGGUGACGAUUAGAUGAUAGGGAGGUGACGAUUAGAUGAUAGUGAGGUGAUAGUGAGGUGACAAUUAGAUGAUAGUGAGGUGACGAUUAGAUGAUAGUGAGGUGACAGGGAAGUGACGAUUAGAUGAUAGUGAGGUGACGAUUAGAUGAUAGUGAGGUGACAGGGAAGUGACGAUUAGAUGAUAGUGAGGUGACGAUUAGAUGAUAGUGAGGUGACGAUUAGAUGAUAGUGAGGUGACGAUUACGUGAUAGUGAGGUGACGAUUAGAUGAUAGUGAGGUGAUAGUGAGGUGACGAUUAGAUGAUAGUGAGGUGACGAUUAGAUGAUAGUGAGGUGGUUGGGAGGUGAUAGUGAGGUGACGAUUAGAUGAUAGUGAGGUGACGAUUAGAUGACAGUGAGGUGACGAUUAGAUGAUAGUGAGGUGACGAUUAGAUGAUAGUGAGGUGACGAUUAGAUGAUAGUGAGGUGACGAUUAGGUGAUAGUGAGGUGACGAUUAGAUGAUAGUGAGGUGACGAUUAGAUGAUAGUGAGGUGACGAUUAGAUGAUAGUGAGGUGAUAGUGAGGUGACGAUUAGAUGAUAGUGAGGUGGUUGGGAGGUGACAGGGAGAUGGUUGGGAGAAGAAAAGACUGUUGUUUACUGCAGUUUGUGUGGAGACCUGAUUCAUCCCAUAAUUUAGCAGGUGGC